rnacentral:misc_RNA from 1 species
UGUUCGAGCGUCAUUUCAACCCUCAAGCCUAGCUUGGUAUUGGGUGUCACCGGCAUGGUGCGCCUCAAAAUCAGUGGCGGUGCCACCUGGCUUCAAGCAUAGUAACACUUCUUGCUCUGGAGGCCCAGGUGGCUACCUGCCAAAACCCACACUUUCUCAAGGUUGACCUCGGAUCAGGUAGGGAUACCCGCUGAACUUAA